UGCCGGUGAACUAUCGAUCUGUCCUGGGAAUCCGGUCUCACCAGUUCACCUCAAUUACUGCUUUGACUCCCCAGAAGGAACAGGGCGCCCAAAUCCUUUAACUCCAGAACUAAGCACUUCAGUCACCUCUGGAGGACAUCACUUCAGCUCCCAUCCCGUUUCACCUGUGAUGCUGACGUAGGUACUUAAGCACUAAAGGUAGCAAGUAUUUGUGGAAAAUGGAAGAUCUCUGUAACAACCAUAUUCUUGAGUUCUAUUGCCACAGGGAAGAAAGAAAAAAAAAUUAAGACCUUGGUGAACUAAUCUCCAUAAUAGCUGAGCUGAUCUUUCCCAGACGGUCUCUGACAAGCAUGUUAGGACGGCUUCCCUUGACCAUGGCCAUCUGAUAUACAGAAGAGGAAAAGCUUCAAGUGUUUGGACAUUACCAUGGUUGUGAAUUUCUCUCAAGAAUUUAUCAUACUGCACAAUUCCUGCUUUUUAAUUAAGCCUUCUCCUACUUUCACUUUCAUAUUAUGUUUCUUGUUUGUUCAAUUUUCUCCAAUAACAAACUGAAAAUGAAAUUUCACAGUUGUUUUUUUUACUCCUCAGCCUCAAUUUUAUAGGCUUUAUUAAUUCCUUCAGAGUAUAAUUUAUCUGGAUUUCUAGUUUUUCUAUUCAUAAAACAAAAGGGAUUUGAAUUUGAUAUCCUCUUCCAGCUAAAUAUUUCUUUUUUUUUUAUUCUUCCCAUUAUUUGGACGUAAAAAGAAUAAUUUGAGAAAUAUGACCAGUGAGUUACAUUUGCCCCUUCACAACUUGUUUUGAGAACCUUCCUUUCUGUAACUGGAUACCAAAUAUUUCAUAUUUUACCCACGUUGUUGGCUUCUGAAAGAAUGAAUACAGCCAGGCUUCUUUCAACAGCACUGAAUGAGAGCAUCCAUUGUUUACCAUUAGGGCUCAAAAUAAAAUAUUCUAGUUUAACAACUAGGAGAAAAAGAGA